UAUAUUUGAGUGUUAUUGCACUAAAAUUUUUGAAAUUUUAAGUAAUAAAUAUAUUUUUAUUAAAUAUAA
rnacentral:tRNA from 1 species